ensembl:lncRNA
UCCUGCCCUACCAUCGAGUAGGCUCCGGCUAGAACAUCCUUCCCCUGGGACUCGCCAGCCUCAGCGGCUCAGCUGCUCCCUUGGAGGACCACGUUGGCCGCAGGAAAAUGGACUUAUCGCUAAGGGGCGGAGCUUCGGCCCCAUUCAGCGCCGCCUUUCGUGCCCUGUUCCUCUGACCCCACCCCAAAGUUGAUGGUAAAGGAUAAGCUUCCCCAAAUACAGGGUUUCUCUGGCUUUUAAUAUUGAAAUUUUCAGGAGAGAGAUAUCAGGAGCAGCUGAACUCAAAUGUGAAAUAAAGGUCGCGGCGGCUGAAUCAGAAGCGUCAUUUUAUGCAUUUGAAGUACAAUUAUUUUCAGUAUUAUAAAGCCAUCUGUACUUUGCAUCUUAUGAUUAUUUUUCCUUUUUCUGCCCAAUUUCAUUAUUGGUGUGUGAAUCCUUGUUGAUGUUUACUGUCUAUUUAUUUUGAAGAUGUUAAUCCUAUAUUUUUGUAAGUCAAUGUCCUCCAGCCAGGACUACCCGAAACCAACUUUAAUUAAGCAAGUUGGUUUUAUUACUCAGUCAUGAGCUAUGGAGAGUUUCAGGGCAUCUCAGCACGAGGAUGUUAGGAAGAUCCUAUACAGAUUUUGGGCUUUUAUCUGGGGAUUUUUGGAAAGGGUUUAAGGAAGCCGGCUUUGCUCCAGAUUGAAUGCUGCAGGAAGAUACUCAGUACUAUGAGUAUCUUUUAUUUAUCUCUUGUAUAGGGAGGACUAUUGGGGGAAAUUCAGCCCCCAAUAUUUCACGUAGGUUCUUUUCUAUUUUCCCUAAGUGUCAGCUGGUCUGAGAAAUAAAGGGAAAGAGUACAAAAGAGAGAAAUUUUAAAGCUCGGUGUCUAGGGGAGACAUCACAUGUCAGCAGGUUCCAUCAUGCCCCUGAGCCACAAAACCAGCAAGUUUUAUUAGCAAUUUUCAAAGAGAGGAGUGCACAAAUCGAGUGUGGGUCACAGAGAUCACAUGCUUCAAGGGCGACAAAAGAUCACAAGGCAGGAGGUCAGGGCAAGAUCACAAAGUCAGAGUGAAACUAGAAUCACUAAUGAACUUCCAUGUCCAGCUGUGCACACAUUGUCAUGGAUAAACAAGGUUCAAGAGCAGAGAACUGGUCUGACUAGAAUUUGCCAGGCUGGAAUUUCCUAAUCCUAGCAAGCCUGGGGGCACUGCAGAAGACUAGGGCGUGGUUCAUCCCUAUCUACAUCUGCGUAAGACAGACACCCCCAGAGCAGCCAUUUUAGAGGCCUCCUCUGGAAAUGCAUUCUUUUCCCAGGGCUGUUAAUUAUUAAUAUUCCUUACUAGGGAAAUAAUUCAGUGAUAUUUAUCUUGCCCGUUUUCAGUAAUGAGAGAAAUAUGGCUCUGUCCUGCCUGCCCACUGGCAGCCAGACUUUAAGGUUAUCUCCCUUGUUCUCUGAAAAUCGCUGUUAUCCUGUUCUUAAGGUGCCAGAUUUCAUAUUGUUCAAAUACACAUGCUCUACAAACAAUUUGUGCAGUUAAUGCAAUUAUCACAGGGUCCUGAGGUGACAGUCAUCCUCAGCUUACAAAGAUGACGGGAUUAAGAGAUUAAAAUAAAGACAGGCAUAGGAAAUCACCAAAGGAGUACUGAUUGUGGAAGGGAUAAAUGUCCAUGAAAUCUUCACAAUUUAUGUUCAGAGAUUGCAGUAAAGACAGGUGUAAGAAAUUAUAAAAGUAUUAAUUUGGGGAACUAAUAAAUGUCCAUGAAAUCUUCACAAUUUAUGUUCUUCUGCCAUGGCUUCAACUGGUCCAUCCAUUCAGGGUCCCUGACUUCCCACAACAGAGGACAGGCGAGAGAGAUACUAAAGUUGUAAUUGGUCAAGACGUAGAAGUUAUAAUGCUGGUAUAAAGAUAGAUACAUCGAUCUGUCUCUGUUCUAGAACAGAACAAACCCUUGCAUGUGGAGUCCUAAUUAGGGAAAAGGAGUCAGGCUGGCUGGACGAAGGGAAGCAAAAGGAGAAAGCAGAUAAGCCACAAGUCUGCCUUUCUUCAUGGUCCAGGACACACAGCCCUGCUGUGCAAAUAACUCAAAAUCUGCCUGAGCCCAGCCAUCACCAGACCCCUAGCUGAUAGAAAAAUGGAAGUUAGUUCACUGCAACCUUGACAUUAUUAGUACUGCACAAAGCCCUCUUCUGCACACAACAUAAGCACCAUUCUACAAAAUCCCCAGCAAGCCUUUGUUUUCUAGCAGUCAACUUCUCUCUUGCUGACCUGCCUGUUGUACCCUUGCAAUGUAUUUUCAUACUUUCUCUAAUAAACCUGUCUUUCUUUACCUA